AAAUUGAAGAGUUUGAUCAUGGCUCAGAUUGAACGCUGGCGGCAGGCCUAACACAUGCAAGUCGAACGGUAACAGGGAUCAGCUUGCUGAUUCGCUGACGAGUGGCGGACGGGUGAGUAAUGUCUGGGAAACUGCCUGAUGGAGGGGGAUAACUACUGGAAACGGUAGCUAAUACCGCAUAACGUCGCAAGACCAAAGAGGGGGACCUUCGGGCCUCUUGCCAUCGGAUGUGCCCAGAUGGGAUUAGCUAGUAGGUGGGGUAACGGCUCACCUAGGCGACGAUCCCUAGCUGGUCUGAGAGGAUGACCAGCCACACUGGAACUGAGACACGGUCCAGACUCCUACGGGAGGCAGCAGUGGGGAAUAUUGCACAAUGGGCGCAAGCCUGAUGCAGCCAUGCCGCGUGUAUGAAGAAGGCCUUCGGGUUGUAAAGUACUUUCAGCGGGGAGGAAGGGAGUAAAGUUAAUACCUUUGCUCAUUGACGUUACCCGCAGAAGAAGCACCGGCUAACUCCGUGCCAGCAGCCGCGGUAAUACGGAGGGUGCAAGCGU
rnacentral:rRNA from 1 species